AUUAUUAUUAUUACCAUGGAUUUUUUACUAAUUUAUUAUUUGGCAAAAAGACGUCAACGGAAACAACGUCGAUUGCGAAAAGCGUGCGCCCGCGCCGUCCGCCGCACGUGC